rnacentral:lncRNA from 1 species
CCGUGCCCUGAAAACUGUGUGGACUUGUCAACCUGAAACAUCUCCUGUUCUAUAACUGGCUUUAUUGCUCCCUCUGAACAACCUUCAUAACAACUGGAUCCUUGAAGAUUAAACAAGACCUGAAAGAAAAUUAUCAUUGCAGUGGUUAUUGAUGAGGUGGGUGGUGAAUUAUCUAAUUACACUUACAAGUUAAUGCUCCAGCCAUAACCUGCAAGCAGCCAGUACUGCUGGAAAAUAAUUUAAUUAGUUAAAAAGCACGAAUAAUAUUGAAACGAUGAUUAGCAAAAGAAAUGAUCCCAUCAAUUCUUGCUUGAACUGUUAUUUUGGCACUUCCAUCCACUCUUUGCCUACUUGCGCGCUUCAAAUUGGCGUAUACACACAUUGGUCAGGUGUCGAAUUUUUG